UACGAAGGGUGCAAGCGUUACUCGGAAUUACUGGGCGUAAAGCGUGUGUAGGUGGUCGUUUUAAGUCUGUUGUGAAAGCCCUGGGCUCAACCUGGGAACUGCAGUGGAAACUGGACGACUAGAGUGUGGUAGAGGGUAGCGGAAUUCCCGGUGUAGCAGUGAAAUGCGUAGAGAUCGGGAGGAACAUCCAUGGCGAAGGCAGCUACCUGGACCAACACUGACACUGAGGCACGAAAGCGUGGGGAGCAAACAGG
rnacentral:rRNA from 1 species